UGAGCUUGCGCGUCUCUCGUAGGCCGUCUCUUUCCUUCCCUCCUCCCCCGGUUUUCCAUGGCCCCCACACCAUGACGUCGCCCAUCCCGCGCAAGAACGGUCACUGGGGCCACCUAGCCGCCGGCGCGGUGCCGACGGCUGUGCAGAAGGCCUUGAUGCAAGAGCGCGGCUCUUUGGCUUCCGCAAGCAUGGGGAUGGCGGCGGCGCGGCGAUCUGCGACGAGCUCUGUGCUGUGCCCCACCACUUCUGACGACGCAGACGACCACAAUGGCGGGUCCCUCACGUCCACGUCUCAGGUGCACCGGCGCUCGUCACGGUCUCUAAACCAUCAACAUUCCGCACUGCAGCAGCAGCCCGCACACGUGCCGUCAGACAAGAACAGUACCACCGGGGACAUGCGGCGAGAGUGGAAGUUUGCUCUGCAGUUUGUGCAUCAGGCAGGCCAGCUCCUCAUCCAGUGCUCCCCGCAGUGGGAGUACGAGUUCAUCGACCUGGACAGGACGGCGGUCGGGCUCGCGCAGCGCGAGAGGCUACCGACGCAAGCGGAAUUGUCGCCGAUGUUCGCAGUGCUUUCCUACACGGAUCGAGCGGCGGUGGUGCAGUCGCCGCCGCAGCCUGUCACCGCGGCAGGGGGCUCACCAGGCGCCGGCGUCUCGUUGCGUCAGCCAAGCAUGAGUAGAGGCAGCCUCAGCGCGAGCCCUGCCACAGCGAACAUCGGCUACCAGCACGCAGAGCAGCACUCUUUCACGAGCUCGAGCGACGUCGGCAAGCGGGCAGAGACGGCGCCAACAGUCGCGGACGACCGCGUCGACGGGGACGCGUGGUGGGUGGAGAAGUCGAAGGCGGUGGAGCUCUUCUACUGCCUCCCCGCUCCCGGCAUGGACCUCAAGGGGUUCUGCAAGCAUUGCGUGCAGUUUGUCUUGCGUGACCCCCACGUCGCGAGCAUCGACGGCGACACGCGGCUGGCGCGGCUGCACAUUGGCGACAAGCUUCGCUGCACCUACCAGCUGGGCGGCCGCCACCGCUCCUUCCAGCUGCGCUACACCCUGCACGAUCGCUCCGAGUUGCAGGAGAGCCACGUGUACGCCAUCGGCACCAUUGUCGGGCAGCGCGGCUACUUGCUACGCGCGCGGUGCACGGACGCCGAGGAGUUGGAGGGGUACGUGCGGAAGGUUCUUCUACCGGUGUACGCGUCGCCGGGACGGGUACAGUUCGGUGUCGACGUUACCUAUCACAACGUUGGCCCGACGACGCCGCUCAGCGAGCAGCAGGAGGCUUUCGGCCAGCUGCAGUACGUCGACCACAAGGCAGCCAUCGUCUUUGUCACUCCGUUGUACCCGAUGCGGGUGCUGCCCGACUACUCACCGGCGAAGACGGUCGGCGUGGGAUCCAUCACCUGCCUCACCCUGAAGCUCAGCGUGUACGAGCGGCUGCUGGACGACAUUGCCGCGGCGGAGAUUACUGGGGUCGCCAAGUACAAGGUCAGCCCCAUCAUUGUGUGUGUCGAAGUCGAGGAGGUGUCGCGCAUGGGAUACCCGAAGGUGAUGUCGACCGAGCAGUACAGCGAGCUCAAGGCGGCCCGCGUCGCGGAGGUGUUCCCGGAUGCGAAAAUGGUGGGCCUUCCAUCAAACUUGUUCAUGGGCAGCCGCACAGGGCGCUUGCGUACCAUGACGUUUACCUACGAGCCCCUCGGCUGCGUCGUCAAGUCGCUCAUCGCCUCAACCCUCGUCGGCAACCUGGGUGUGACGGCACUCUACAUCGCGAAGCUCAGCGGUGGUGUCUUCGAUGCCCACCUCUACGUGUUUCAGCAGCUUGUGCAUGGGAUGGAGUACCUGCCGCAGAACAACUUCGAGAAGAGCGCGCGUGUCAGUCGCUACCGUGCGCGAAACAUUCGCCUCAUGGAGGAGGACGUCAUACACGCAUACAGCGACGACAAGCAGCUCGGCGACGCGGUCCCGCAGCCGGUGCAGUGCGCCACACCAGGCUCGCCGUCGUCGCUGUCGACCGCCGCUGCCACGCCGCACCCGACGAUGCUCGCCGCCAGGGAUCCUCGCAUCGUGGCCGCGACGCGCGAGCGUCACCUUCACUUUCUGUCGCUCGGCAAUGACGGCCGCGUCGAAGGCGGCGUCGAAGCGGUGGUGUCGCCAGAGGAAGGAGGCAUUGCGCCUACUCGUCGCUCCGUGUCUGCCGCCAACAUCAACGAAGGCGGCCUGCACGCGCACGGCGGACACCGCGGGGGAUCCGAGGCGGACGGCGCAAGCGCCUUCGGCACUGAAGCCGCCCGAACAUCACUGAUUUCGGCCUCCCUGUUCACGGCGUCGCUGACCAGCGACGCGCUUGUGACGGCUACGCUACCGGCGUCGGCGCUCACCCCCGCCGAUAAUGCUUUCAGCGCACCAGGCGGCGGCAUGCGUGACACGCUGCAUGCCGAUUUCUUUUCGUCCGCGAACAGCAGCUCCCGCAUCAGCGUGACCAACAUCUCCCACCUGCGGGAGAGUGGCUCGGCCAGCCUGGCGGGCGACCACAGCGACGCCGACGACGCCAUGAGCGGGUUUAUGGAGGACGGUCACGACGCCUUUGCGUGUAGCCACGAGGAGGCGUAUGCCUGUACGGCUCCGCUUGACGCCGCUCCUCUCGCAUCCGCCUCUGUGGGCCCAUCUGCGGCGUCGCUUGCCGGUAGCCAUCCGCCCGCCUCCGUCGCCUCCGAGAGUGGUGACGGCAUCGAGGCGCGUACGGCGAUUUAUCGUCGGAGAGGCAGUGGCAGCAUACUCGUGGCAAGCUACAUCUCCAGCGCCGCGGCAGACGCUGGCGCCGGAGAGGUGCUGAAAACCCAGGUUGUCUGCUCCGCCUCAGCUCUGCCCACUAGCGAACUGCCCGACAUCAGCGGCGACGGCGACGCGGUGGGUCGCAGCCCGGAUGCAGCAGCGAGGCUGGGUACUACUACGUGCCCUUCUGUGGUCGACAACGAUGACACGGCCGCUGCCGAGCAGCUGAAGCAGCGGCAGCUCUACGAGCAGCUGGUUGGCAAGGGCGACCCUGCCGUUCAGCAGGCCCUGCGCGAGGCAGAGGGCGGCACCCUCUACGGUCCCUCUCUUCGCGAUGUCUACGCCCGCUGCUGUGAGGCGCAGCAGUGCCGCCCGAACAGCUACUUGAUGCGCAAGCUCCCGGUGCAGCCGGAGUUCACAUACUCCGUCGAGGAGAUCGACCUCAGCGCCAACUACGUCGGCCACAAUGGCUUUGUCGCCGUACUGCACCUCCUUGAGCACCUGCCUCGUCUCCGCGUCGUGUACUUCAACAACAUGUCCCUGGAUAACACGGACGCGGAGAGCCUUUGCUACGCGCUAGCCACGAACCACACGGUGCGUGAGGUGCACCUGGAGAACAACCCCGGCAUCUCUCUGCCUUCCAUGCGGCACUUCACCGCCCUCCUGCGCGUGAACAGGCGCGUUGGAGUCCUGAUGUUGGCAGGGACGCGCCUGAGCCCGACGCUGAUCGCGAAGCUGCAAGAGGAGGCGAGCCAGCGGCGGGAUUGACCCAUGCUAGGCUCGCGUCAGGUGUGCAUUCAGGUUGUGGGCACUGUUGUACAAGGGAGAGGGGUGCCACCUGCAGGGCGUCGGUUUCCGUGUGUGUGUCCUUCUUUCUGACGCUCUCUCUCUCUAGCUAGCUGGACGCCCACCACCGCCACCACCGCUUUCUCGAACGCCUUCGCCUUCUCAGCCUCCCUCCAUCCUUGGCGCGUUACUGUUGCCGCACAUGUGCGAGGCACUGACGAUGGCGGCGACUGCGGAUGCAGAGAGAGCUGGAGUAAGGAAGGCGAAGGCGUGCGUGCCUGCUCACGCACGCUCAUACAUGUGAUGUACCAUAACCGGGUGACAGCUUCCUUUCGCCUGUCUACUUGUCUGCGCGUGCGCGCGCGCGUGCGUGCAUACGCUUGCUGAUGUCACUGUCGCGGCAUACGCACGUAUUGCAUGCACGCGUUGGGGGGGGGAGGGAGUUUUGGGGUGUGGGUGGCCUCGUACUCUCACUCCUUCUUUUUCCUUGUGUGCCCCACCCCUCGUCUUCCCGUAGCCUCUUUUCAUCUUGCAUGUAUGUUAGACGCUAUCACUCUCCUUCCUCUCUUAUGUGACAGAACCGCAUCAUCAUCGUUGUCGUCGUCGUGGCGAUCUCGUGUAUGUGAGGGCUUCUACAUGCGCAACGGCAGCAG
rnacentral:misc_RNA from 1 species